CAAGACGUAGCUAUAACUAAAGCAUUCAGCUUACACCUGAAAGAUAUCUUCCCAAGACAAGAUCGUCUUGA
rnacentral:tRNA from 1 species